rnacentral:rRNA from 1 species
GGUAGCCGGCCUGAGAGGGUGUCCGGCCACACUGGGACUGAGAUACGGCCCAGACUCCUACGGGAGGCAGCAGUGGGGAAUAUUGCACAAUGGGCGCAAGCCUGAUGCAGCGACGCCGCGUGGGGGAUGACGGCCUUCGGGUUGUAAACCUCUUUCAGUAGGGACGAAGCGCAAGUGACGGUACCUACAGAAGAAGGACCGGCCAACUACGUGCCAGCAGCCGCGGUAAUACGUAGGGUCCGAGCGUUGUCCGGAAUUACUGGGCGUAAAGAGCUCGUAGGUGGUUUGUCGCGUUGUUCGUGAAAUCUCACAACUCAAUUGUGAGCGUGCGAGCGAUACGGGCAGACUGGAGUACUGCAGGGGAGACUGGAAUUCCU